rnacentral:rRNA from 1 species
AAAUCAGUUAUGGUUCCUUAGAUCGUACCCACAAUAACUCGGAUAACUGUGGUAAUUCUAGAGCUAAUACAUGCAAACAGAGCUCCGACCGGAGACGGAAGGAGUGCUUUUAUUAGAUCAAAACCAAUCGGUGGCGGGUUCGCCCGUUAUCGUACAACUUGGUGACUCUGAAUAACUUUACGCUGAUCGCACGGUCAUCGCACCGGCGACGCAUCUUUCAAAUGUCUGCCUUAUCAACUGUCGAUGGUAGGUUCUGCGCCUACCAUGGUUGUAACGGGUAACGGGGAAUCAGGGUUCGAUUCCGGAGAGGGAGCCUGAGAAACGGCUACCACAUCCAAGGAAGGCAGCAGGCGCGCAAAUUACCCACUCCCGGCACGGGGAGGUAGUGACGAAAAAUAACGAUACGGGACUCAUCCGAGGCCCCGUAAUCGGAAUGAGUAC